rnacentral:rRNA from 1 species
UAAAUACUGUCGGUGCCGAAGCUAACGCGAUAAGUCUGCCGCCUGGGGACUACGGCCGCAAGGCUAAAACUCAAAGGAAUUGACGGGGCCCCGCACAAGCAGCGGAGCGUGUGGUUUAAUUCGAGGCUACGCGAAGAACCUUACCUGGGUUUGACAUACACGUAGUAGGGAUCUGAAAGGUGACCGACCCUUCGGGGAGCGUGUACAGGUGCUGCAUGGCUGUCGUCAGCUCGUGUCGUGAGAUGUCCGGUUAAGUCCGGUAACGAGCGCAACCCUUGUCCUGUGUUACAAGUGUCACAGGAGACUGCCGGUAUAAAGCCGGGGGAAGGUGGGGAUGACGUCAAGUCAGCAUGGCCUUUAUAUCCAGGGCUACACACACGCUACAAUGGCUGGUACAAUAGGUCGCAAAACCGCGAGGUGGAGCCAAUCCAUAAAGCCAGCCUCAGUUCAGAUUGCAGGCUGCAACCCGCCUGCAUGAAGUCGGAGUUGCUAGUAACCGCAGGACAGCUAUACUGCGGUGAAUACGUUCUCGGGUCUUGUACACACCGCCCGUCACACCACGAGAGCUUGUUGCACCUGAAAUAGCCGGCCUAACCGUAAGGGAGGAGGCUCUUAAGGUGUGAUAAGUGAUUGGGGUGAAGUCGUAACAAGGUAACCAAGGGCGAA